rnacentral:tRNA from 1 species
GGUCUCGUGGAGGUCGGCCACCUCGUGGGCGGGGGCCCAGCCCUGGUAGACGCCGAAGUCGAACUCCUCCAGGUUCAACUCCUGCGCGACCG